rnacentral:rRNA from 1 species
CAAGGAUACCCUAAGUAACGGCGAGUGAACCGGGUAAUGCUCAAUCUUUAAAAUCUGUGUCUCAAAUGAGGCAUCGAAUUGUAGUUUUUUGAUAAUCAUUCCCUCUUCUUUUAAUAUAAUUAAAGUCUCUUGGAAUAGAGUGUCAUAGAAGGUGAGAACCCUGUGAAUAGUUAUAUUAGAGGGAGGAUAUUGAGUUUGAUUAUCAUAGAGUCGGGUUGUUUGGGAAUGCAGCCUAAAAAGGGUGGUAAAUCUCAUCUAAAGCUAAAUAUUUGGUAAGAGACCGAUAGAAAACAAGUACCGUGAGGGAAAGAUGAAAAGAACUUUGAAAAGAGAGUUAAAAGUACUUGAAAUUGUUAACUGGGAACCGCUUAAAUUCUAAUCUCUUAAUUUUAUUAAAUCAUCUUCUUUAAAGGUGGAUCACAUUAAAUAGAUGUAACUCAGUUACUCUAUGAGUGGGUGAAGUCAGAGAGGAAGUGC